rnacentral:rRNA from 1 species
CCCAGACUCCUACGGGAGGCAGCAGUGAGGAAUAUUGGUCAAUGGCCGUAAGGCUGAACCAGCCAAGUAGCGUGAGGGAAGACUGCCCUAUGGGUUGUAAACCUCUUUUAUGCGGGGAUAAAGGUGUCCACGUGUGGAUGUUUGCAGGUACCGCAUGAAUAAGGACCGGCUAAUUCCGUGCCAGCAGCCGCGGUAAUACGGAGGGUGCGAGCGUUAAUCGGAAUUACUGGGCGUAAAGCGCUCGUAGGCGGUAUGUCAAGUCAAGGGUGAAAUCCCCGCGCUCAACGUGGGAACUGCCUUUGAAACUGGCAAACUGGAGUGUGUGAGAGGAUAGUGGAAUUCCAGGUGUAGGAGUGAAAUCCGUAGAUAUCUGGAGGAACAUCAGUGGCGAAGGCGACUAUCUGGCACAUAACUGACGCUGAGGAGCGAAAGCGUGGGUAGCAAACAGGAUUAGAUACCCUAGUA